UACGAAGGGGGCAAGCGUUGUUCGGAAUUACUGGGCGUAAAGGGCGCGUAGGCGGCCGAUCAAGUCAGGCGUGAAAUUCCCGGGCUCAACCUGGGGGCUGCGCUUGAUACUGAUUGGCUUGAAUGCGGGAGAGGAUAGUGGAAUUCCCAGUGUAGAGGUGAAAUUCGUAGAUAUUGGGAAGAACACCGGUGGCGAAGGCGGGUUGCUGGGCCGACACUGACGCUGAGGCGCGAAAGCUAGGGGAGCGAACGGG
rnacentral:rRNA from 1 species